rnacentral:rRNA from 1 species
CGAAGGAUGCAAGCGUUAUCCGGAUUCAUUGGGUUUAAAGGGAGCGUAGGCGGACUUAUAAGUCAGUGGUGAGAUCUCUGGGCUUAACUCAGAAACUGCCAUUGAUACUGUAGGUCUAGAGUACAUUUGCUGUGGGCGGAAUAUGACAUGUAGUGGUGAAAUACUUAGAUAUGUCAUAGAACACCGAUUGCGAAGGCAGCUCACAAAAAUGUAACUGACGCUGAGGCUCGAAAGUGCGGGGAUCAAACAGGAUUAGAUACCCUGGUAGUCCGCACCGUAAACGAUGAUUACUCGCUGCUUGAAGGUAACUUUGAGUGGCUUAGCGAAAGCGAUAAGUAAUCCACCUGGGGAGUACGCCGGCAACGGUG